GCUGCCGCCCGGGGCGGAGAAACAUCCAUCGGCGCUGUGCUGGGCUUUUGGCCUGCUCGGCAUUCGAUUGAGGAGUGGCCGCGCUCUUCCGGCGCCCGGCGCCACUUCCGGCCUUGGCUUCUGGUUAGCGGUGCAGACCUCAGGCUUUUGAAGAAUUUAAUCCAAACAUGGAUAUCAGACCAAAUCAUACGAUUUAUAUCAACAAUAUGAAUGACAAGAU